rnacentral:lncRNA from 1 species
UGGAAUCAAGACUCUGCAACAAUUGGUUGCACCUUGCUCUCCUAUAGUUGUACGUGACAAAUUCUUAACUAUAAGAAUAGAGAGAGAGAGAGAGGAAAAGCCAACGGUGGAAGAGGGGAGAAUUUAGCGACUGCAAAACCUGGCAGCGGUGUGGUUACCACCCACAAGAGCAACACGAUUAGAUCUGAUUCUACACCAAAGGAGCAACAAUUGUCUAAUUCUAUCUACUUCCAUGAUGUUUUCUUCUUAAUGUACUCAAUACAGGUUAAUGUUUUUGUAAAGAAAAUUCCAUAGAAAUUGAGUUUGUAGGUACACCCCCAGAAAUGGAAUUAGAUGAUCUGAAACUCAACUAACAUGGAAAAAUGAAGGGGGGGCAAAAAUAUUUACGUUUGAAGUUGAAAGAAGAGAAAAAUGUGGAAGAGUUAGAGUUAAAGAUGAUGAUGAAGAGAGGAUCUU